AGGGCACCACCAGGAGUGGAGCCUGCGGCUUAAUUUGACUCAACACGGGAAAACUCACCCGGCCCGGACACCGUAAGGAUUGACAGAUUGAGAGCUCUUUCUUAAUUCGGUGGGUGGUGGUGCAUGGCCGUUCUUAGUUGGUGGAGCGAUUUGUCUGGUUAAUUCCGAUAACGAACGAGACUCUGGCCUAUUAAAUAGACGAGAUAUUAAAAAGUAUAUCGCACUUCUUAGAGGGACAAGCGGCGUCUAGUCGCGUGAAAAAGAGCAAUAACAGGUCUGUGAUGCCCUUAGAUGUCCGGGGCUGCACGCGCGCUACACUGAAAGAAUCAGUGUGCGUUUUACCUAGUUCGGAAGAACCGGGUAACCCAAGUAAAUUCUUUCGUGCUUGGGAUAGGGAAUUGCAAUUAUUUCCCUUAAACGAGGAAUUCCCAGUAAAUGCAGGUCAUAAGCUCGCGUUGAUUACGUCCCUGCCCUUUGUACACACCGCCCGUCGCUACUACCGACUGCAUGACUUAGUGA
rnacentral:rRNA from 1 species